CCGAGUUUUCAACUCUCAAACCCCUGUGAACAAUACCAUAUACAGUUGCUUCGGCGGGUCUUUGCCCUGGAGACAGGUGCCCGCCGGAGACCCAAAACCCUUGAAUUUUAUAGCGAGACUGUCUGAGUGGGUUAUAUACCAAAUGAAUCA
rnacentral:misc_RNA from 1 species